GGUUCUGUAGCUCAGCUGGUAGAGCCCGGAAUAGUUUAGCAUAUCGCUUAACCAUUAUCCUUAAAGACGCGUUCCUAAUGGAUCUGUAUGAAUUGUAGCCGGAGAUGUGGAUUUCGAGUCCCACCGGAACUA